GCCAGCAGCCAUAUCACUCUGCAACUCACAACUGGCAACCCACUGAAGCUAAGCAAGUGUGAGCCUGGUCAGUACCCAGAUGGGAGACCUCCUGGGAAAAACAGGUUGCUGCUAGAA
rnacentral:rRNA from 1 species